UACAGAGGGUGCGAGCGUUAAUCGGAAUUACUGGGCGUAAAGGGCGCGUAGGUGGUUACUUAAGUCAGAUGUGAAAUCCCUGGGCUUAACCUAGGAAUUGCAUAUGAAACUGAGUAGCUAGAGUACGGGAGAGGGAAGUGGAAUUUCCGGUGUAGCGGUGAAAUGCGUAGAUAUCGGAAGGAACACCAGUGGCGAAGGCGACUUCCUGGCCCGUUACUGACACUGAGGCGCGAAAGCGUGGGGAGCAAACAGG
rnacentral:rRNA from 1 species